GUGGGGAAUCUUGCGCAAUGGGCGAAAGCCUGACGCAGCCAUGCCGCGUGAAUGAUGAAGGUCUUAGGAUUGUAAAAUUCUUUCACCGGGGACGAUAAUGACGGUACCCGGAGAAGAAGCCCCGGCUAACUUCGUGCCAGCAGCCGCGGUAAUACGAAGGGGGCUAGCGUUGCUCGGAAUUACUGGGCGUAAAGGGCGCGUAGGCGGACAGUUUAGUCAGAGGUGAAAGCCCAGGGCUCAACCUUGGAAUUGCCUUUGAUACUGGCUGUCUUGAGUACGGGAGAGGUGAGUGGAACUCCGAGUGUAGAGGUGAAAUUCGUAGAUAUUCGGAAGAACACCAGAGGCGAAGGCGACUCACUGGCCCGAUACUGACGCUGAGGCGCGAAAGCGUGGGGAGCAAACAGGAUUAGAAACCCCGGUAGUCC
rnacentral:rRNA from 1 species